AGAGUUUGAUCAUGGCUCAGAUUGAACGCUGGCGGCAUGCCUUACACAUGCAAGUCGAACGGCAGCACGGGUGCUUGCACCUGGUGGCGAGUGGCGAACGGGUGAGUAAUACAUCGGAACGUACCUUAUCGUGGGGGAUAACGCAGCGAAAGCUGUGCUAAUACCGCAUACGCCCUGAGGGGGAAAGCGGGGGAUCGAAAGACCUCGCGCGAUUAGAGCGGCCGAUGCCUGAUUAGCUUGUUGGUGGGGUAAAAGCCCACCAAGGCGACGAACAGUAGCUGGUCUGAGAGGACGAUCAGCCACACUGGGACUGAGACACGGCCCAGACUCCUACGGGAGGCAGCAGUGGGGAAUUUUGGACAAUGGGGGCAACCCUGAUCCAGCAAUGCCGCGUGAGUGAAGAAGGCCUUCGGGUUGUAAAGCUCUUUUGUCAGGGAAGAAACACCGGCUCUAACACAGUCCGGGAAUGACGGUACCUGAAGAAUAAGCACCGGCUAACUACGUGCCAGCAGCCGCGGUAAUACGUAGGGUGCGAGCCGUUAAUCGGAAUUACUGGGCGUAAAGCGUGCGCAGGCGGUUAUACAAGACAGGCGUGAAAUCCCCGGGCUUAACCUGGGAAUGGCGCCUGUGACUGUAUAGCUAGAGUGUGUCAGAGGGGGGU
rnacentral:rRNA from 1 species